rnacentral:rRNA from 1 species
GCAAGUCGAGCGAGAAAGUUUCCUUCGGGAGACGAGUAGAGCGGCGAACGGGUGAGUAACGCGUAGAUAAUCUACCUUUGAGAUUGAGAUAACCUCGGGAAACUGGGGCUAAUACCAAAUGAUGCCUUUUGAAUGGAAACUAAAGGUUAAAGGGGCUUUUGUCCCGCUUGAGGAUGAGUCUGCGUUCUAUCAGCUAGUUGGUGAGGUAAUGGCUUACCAAGGCAAAGACGGAUAGCUGGUCUGAGAGGAUGAUC